rnacentral:tRNA from 1 species
GCCCGGUUAGCUCAGUUGGCAGAGCGCGAGGCUUUUAAGCGGUAACCUUGAGGUCGUGGGUUCGAACCCCAUAUCCGGCG